rnacentral:lncRNA from 1 species
GUGAGAUGGUGCUGACUGCUGAAACAAACUACUCAAGAGCUAUAAGAAAAAUGAGAACUCAAGGCUAUGUCAUAACAAGUAUUCAAAAUGAUUUUCAUAUUCAGGAGAUUUAAGGUGUUAAAACGAUACCGAUCUUGUGAACUUCUCCCAAGUCUCUACAAACCAACCUCAAAUUAUUCUAUAGCCUAAAACUUUCAACAAAAAUGCAAUUUUUUUUUGAAAGAAAACAAAAACAAAACAAAACAAAGAACAAAAACAAAGAAAAUAAAGUAUUCCCUCCCCCACACUUAAAAUAUGCAUUGUCCUCAAUGAAAGAAACAAACAUAAAAUAAGAGAGAGAAGAGAGAGGAAAGAACACACCCGAGUAGUCAAGGAGGAUAGGUGAUCACAU